rnacentral:rRNA from 1 species
UACGAAGGGGGCUAGCGUUGCUCGGAAUCACUGGGCGUAAAGCGCACGUAGGCGGAUUGCUAAGUCAGGGGUGAAAUCCUGGAGCUCAACUCCAGAACUGCCUUUGAUACUGAGGAUCUUGAGUUCGGGAGAGGUGAGUGGAACUGCGAGUGUAGAGGUGAAAUUCGUAGAUAUUCGCAAGAACACCAGUGGCGAAGGCGGCUCACUGGCCCGAUACUGACGCUGAGGCACGAAAGCGUGGGGAGCAAACAGGG